CCUCCCUCCUUCCCUCCCUCCUCACCCACACCCCCAGUGAAAUCCUGGCACCCAGAGAGCACUCCUUUCAGCCAGAGAUCCAGCCAGCCGCUGUCCCCUGGCAAAAGAGGCCCAGUGCUGAGCCCUGGGCAAGUGUCUGCAGACAUCGCUGCCCCUCCUCCUGAUGAGUUUCCCUCACCAACAGAAACCAUUUCCUUUUGUCACCAAAACUAGGUUGCAUCCAAAAGUUUCUCACAGGCUUAAAAAGGGGAAAAUGGACAACGGUUACCCAGAAGAGAGCCCACAAAAGCUGCAGCCACACACGAGGGGUAAAAGGAGCAGCCACAGACACAGCUCUUGCCUGUGAUUUGAGGGGAGGCUCAACAAUUCCACACACCCUGGCUUCAUUGCCAAUAUCAAUAUUUUAAAACUAAAUACAAAAGAGACAGAUGACCUCCUGACCCCAGGAAAUAGGCCUGCAAAACUGCAAGUACCCACUACACCAUGCCCAGGAACCUCUCCUUCUUCCAAAUGAACCACACACAAAAAAAGCAUGUGUAGCUUGGAAAACACAAUUUUAUACCCACAAGCAGGAACACCAAAAAUCCUCUCAAAAAACACAUAUAUAAACAACCAACAAGUACUGACAUUGCCUUUACUUGAUGGGAAUUGCAAAAGCAUGCCCAGCUCCUUCAGCCUUUAAACUGCUACUAUCAAAUUAGGAUAGCAAUUUUUCCCUGCUGGAAAAUUCACAACCAGUUACCUCCCCACCUCAGCCCCACCCCACCGCCAGGGCCUUGCCUUUCACUGAAAUGCAUAAAUAGCCAUAGACUUCUUUUUCCCUCCUCUGGGGGCUGUUUGGUGUCCCCUGAGAACAAAACUAAAUGAGAAAAAAUGACGCUGUUAAUAAUGUCAUUGCUGAAAUGCCUGUACUCAGUUGUU